rnacentral:rRNA from 3 species
GGACUACUCGGGUUUCUAAUCCCGUUCGCUACCCUAGCUUUCGUGCCUCAGCGUCAGAAAAGACCCAGUGAGCCGCUUUCGCCACGGGUGUUCCUUAGGAUAUCAACGCAUUUCACCGCUCCACCCUAAGUUCCGCUCACCUCUGUCUCCCUCGAGCACGGUAGUUUUGAGCGCUAUUCCUCGGUUGAGCCGAGGGAUUUCACACCCAACUUUCCGCGCAGCCUACGCACCCUUUAAGCCCAGUGAUUCCGAAUAACGUUCGUACGGUUCGUCUUACCGCGGCUGCUGGCAC